rnacentral:rRNA from 1 species
UACGGAGGGGGCAAGCGUUGUUCGGAAUUACUGGGCGUAAAGGGCGCGCAGGCGGCUGCUCAAGUCAGGCGUGAAAGGCCUGGGCUCAACCCGGGAAUUGCGCUUGAGACUGGGCUGGCUUGAGUGCGGGAGAGGAUGGUGGAAUUCCCAGUGUAGAGGUGAAAUUCGUAGAUAUUGGGAAGAACACCGGUGGCGAAGGCGGCUCUCUGGACCGCAACUGACGCUGAGGCGCGAAAGCUAGGGGAGCAAACAGG